rnacentral:rRNA from 1 species
AUGUCGACCACCCACCUCGUUGUGCUCCUCGGCAUCCUCCUGCUGGCCGGCGCAUCGAGCUCGCAGCCCACCUCCGGCGACCAAGCCACCCUCCUAGCUAUCAAGACCCAGUGGGGAAACCCCACGCAGCUUGCGUCGUGGGACCCUAUCUCCAACGCCGACCACUGUGACUGGACCGGCGUGGUCUGCGGUGGCGACGACGGACGUGCGGUGAUAGGGAUAUCAUUGCCGAAUCUAAACAUCACUGGCAAGGUGCCAGAGUCAGUGUGCGACCUACCGAGCCUCGCCCACCUCGACCUCUCCUACAACAAUCUUACCGGCUGCUUCCCCGGCGUCCCGCUCUACGCCUGCUCCCACCUCCGCUUCCUCGACCUCUCCAACAACUACUUCCAUGGAGUCCUUCCGGAUGACAUCAGCCGACUGUCGCCGGCGACGGAGCACCUCAACCUGUCGAGCAAUCACUUCCGAGGCAUGGUGCCGACUGCCAUGGCCGGGCUAUCAGCGCUGAGGUCACUGGUUCUUGACACUAACCAGUUCAUAGGGGCGUACCCAGCUGCUGAGAUAAGCAAGCUCGCAGGGCUCGAGCAGCUCACGCUUGCCUCGAACCCGUUCACGCCGGCGCCAGCGCCACUAGAGUUUGCCAAGCUGACCAACUUGACCUACCUCUGGAUGUCUGACAUGAACAUGACCGGCGAGAUCCCGAAGGCUUAUUUGAGCCUCGUGAACCUCCAACUGAUCGCUAUGACAGCUAACAAGCUCGCCGGCCAGAUCCCGGCGUGGAUAUGGCAGCACCCAAAACUCGAGUUCUUGUACCUGUUCAACAAUGUACUCACCGGUAAACUGCCGCACAAAAUCACGUCAGUGAAUUUGAUAGAGAUUGAUGUGUCGUCGAACAAUCUUACUGGAGAAAUACCGGAAGACUUUGGUAACCUCAAGAACCUGAGAAUAUUGUUCAUGUACGCCAACCAGCUCACCGGCACCAUUCCACCAAGCAUAGCGAUGCUCCCCAAUCUCACGGACAUCAGGCUAUUUUUAAACAAUCUCUCCGGCGAGAUCCCGCGGGAGCUCGGGAAGCACUCGCCGCUAGGCAACCUCGAGGUCUGCAACAACAACCUCUCGGGCCAGCUCCCGGAUUCACUUUGCUCCAACAGGAAGCUCUAUGACCUCGUCGUCUUCGACAACAGCUUCUCGGGCGAGCUCCCGCAGAACCUCGGCAACUGUGUCCUCCUGAACAACAUCAUGCUCUACAACAACCGCUUCUCCGGCGAGUUCUCGACGAAGAUAUGGUCAUUACCCAAGUUGACCACUGUGAUGAUACAGAACAAUGGUUUCACGGGGACUCUACCAGCCAAGAUAGGUGAGAACAUCUCACGGAUUGAGAUGGGGAACAACAAGUUCUCCGGGUCCUUGCCAACAUCGGCAAUAGGGCUGGCCGUGUUCAAGGCGGAGAACAUCCUGAUCUCCGGCGAGCUACCGGCGGAUAUGUGCGGGUUUCCCAGCCUUGAACAGUUGUCGGUGUCCGGCAACCAACUAACUGGUUCCAUACCAAUAUCAAUCAUUUUGUUGCAGAGGCUCAAUAAUCUCAGCCUGAGCGACAACAAGUUGUCCGGUGCAAUUCCAUUUGGCAGCCUCACGUCGCUUCCAUCCCUGACGAUCAUUGAUUUGUCCAGGAAUAGAUUUACUGGUGGCAUACCAGCAUCAAUCAUUUCGUUGCAGAGGCUCAGUAAUCUCUACCUGAGCAACAACAAGUUGUCCGGCACAAUUCCAUUUGACAGCCUCGCGAUGCUUCCAUCGCUGACGCACCUUGAUUUGUCCAACAAUGAAUUCACCGGUGGCUUAUCUUCGGAAUAA